GAGGCUUAGAAGUUGGAGAGUGACAGUCUUCCUCCUUAUUGAGUGUUUCAUUUUCUAGAGACUUCUCACUCUCUCUCCUUCGUGCAUCUGUUAAGUCAGAUAGGAAGAGUACACGUCCGACUUCAGCCAGGUCACGAUCUCG